UACGGGGGGGCAAGCGUUGUUCGGAAUUACUGGGCGUAAAGGGCCAGUAGGCGGCCAACUAAGUCCGACGUGAAAUCCCCAGGCUCAACUUGGGAACUGCGUCGGAUACUGGAUGGCUUGAAUUCGGGAGAGGGAUGCAGAAUUCCAGGUGUAGCGGUGAAAUGCGUAGAGAUCGGGAAGAACAUCGGUGGCGAAAGCGCUCUACUGGACCGCAACUGACACUCAGGGACGAAAGCUAGGGGAGCGAAUGGG
rnacentral:rRNA from 1 species